AUGAAGAACAGUAUGCCAUGGUUUAAAAAAACAUCAGACAUGUCAGUCCACAAUUGCAGGUACCCAGGAGACACUGAUGCUUUUUUUGAACAAGGUCUCGAAACUCACGUUGAUGAUGAUAAAGAAAAGGAGGUUGACAAGGAAAAAAACAAAAACCAAAAAGCAACCCAACAACCAAACACUCCUGGAGGCAUUGGAUUCGAGGGAGCAUCGCCUCGCCAGGGCUGCUUCUCCUAUCUGGCAGGUUGAACUCUGUAAGCUUUGGUGUUGAUAAUGACGGGGAAACUUCAGACACUUCUGGAGAUUUGUAUCUAUUAAGACAGGGAGCGCUGUUCCUACAACGUGGGGACAAAUUAAUGGGGGUACAGCAUUUUUCCUCCAUCAGCAUAAAAAUGGGGCUGAACCGCUGCAAAUUCUUCACAGAUAAUUAAUUACUCCCCAUACUCAAUAAAAAAGGUUGAAUCUUUGGAUAUUAAAAAAAA
rnacentral:lncRNA from 1 species